UACGAAGGGGGCUAGCGUUGCUCGGAAUCACUGGGCGUAAAGCGCACGUAGGCGGAUCUUUAAGUCGGGGGUGAAAUCCUGGAGCUCAACUCCAGAACUGCCUUCGAUACUGUAGAUCUUGAGUCCGGGAGAGGUGAGUGGAACUGCGAGUGUAGAGGUGAAAUUCGUAGAUAUUCGCAAGAACACCAGUGGCGAAGGCGGCUCACUGGCCCGGUACUGACGCUGAGGUGCGAAAGCGUGGGGAGCAACAGG
rnacentral:rRNA from 1 species